rnacentral:rRNA from 1 species
GAUGAACGCUGGCGGCGUGCCUAAUACAUGCAAGUCGAGCGAACGGACGAGAAGCUUGCUUCUCUGAUGUUAGCGGCGGACGGGUGAGUAACACGUGGAUAACCUACCUAUAAGACUGGGAUAACUUCGGGAAACCGGAGCUAAUACCGGAUAAUAUUUUGAACCGCAUGGUUCAAAAGUAAAAGACGGUCUUGCUGUCACUUAUAGAUGGAUCCGCGCUGCAUUAGCUAGUUGGUAAGGUAACGGCUUACCAAGGCAACGAUGCAUAGCCGACCUGAGAGGGUGAUCGGCCACACUGGAACUGAGACACGGUCCAGACUCCUACGGGAGGCAGCAGUAGGGAAUCUUCCGCAAUGGGCGAAAGCCUGACGGAGCAACGCCGCGUGAGUGAUGAAGGUCUUCGGAUCGUAAAACUCUGUUAUUAGGGAAGAAUAUAUGUGUAAGUAACUGUGCACAUCUUGACGGUACCUAAUCAGAAAGCCACGGCUAACUACGUGCCAGCAGCCGCGGUAAUACGUAGGUGGCAAGCGUUAUCCGGAAUUAUUGGGCGUAAAGCGCGCGUAGGCGGUUUUUUAGUCUGAUGUGAAAGCCCACGGCUCAUUCGUGGAGGGUCAUUGGAAACUGGAAAACUUGAGUGCAGAAGAGGAAAGUGGAAUUCCAUGUGUAGCGGUGAAAUGCGCAGAGAUAUGGAGGAACACCAGUGGCGAAGGCGACUUUCUGGUCUGUAACUGACGCUGAUGUGCGAAAGCGUGGGGAUCAAACAGGAUUAGAUACCCUGGUAGUCCACGCCGUAAACGAUGAGUGCUAAGUGUUAGGGGGUUUCCGCCCCUUAGUGCUGCAGCUAACGCAUUAAGCACUCCGCCUGGGGAGUACGACCGCAAGGUUGAAACUCAAAGGAAUUGACGGGGACCCGCACAAGCGGUGGAGCAUGUGGUUUAAUUCGAAGCAACGCGAAGAACCUUACCAAAUCUUGACAUCCUUUGACAACUCUAGAGAUAGAGCCUUCCCCUUCGGGGGACAAAGUGACAGGUGGUGCAUGGUUGUCGUCAGCUCGUGUCGUGAGAUGUUGGGUUAAGUCCCGCAACGAGCGCAACCCUUAAGCUUAGUUGCCAUCAUUAAGUUGGGCACUCUAAGUUGACUGCCGGUGACAAACCGGAGGAAGGUGGGGAUGACGUCAAAUCAUCAUGCCCCUUAUGAUUUGGGCUACACACGUGCUACAAUGGACAAUACAAAGGGCUGCGAAACCGCGAGGUCAAGCAAAUCCCAUAAAGUUGUUCUCAGUUCGGAUUGUAGUCUGCAACUCGACUACAUGAAGCUGGAAUCGCUAGUAAUCGUAGAUCAGCAUGCUACGGUGAAUACGUUCCCGGGUCU